rnacentral:rRNA from 1 species
AGCUCACAUUUGAAAUCUGACCCCGACGGGGCCCGAGUUGUAAUCUGCAGAGGGUGUUUCGGGUGCGGUCCCGGUCUAGGUCCCUUAGAACAGGGCGUCAUAGAGGGUGAGAACCCCGUCUGCGACCGGCGAGUGAGCCUGUGUGAAACCCCUUCGACGAGUCGAGUUGUUUGGGAAUGCAGCUCCAAAUGGGUGGUAAAUUUCAUCUAAAGAUAAAUAUUGGCCGGAAACCGAUAGCGCACAAGUAGAGUGAUCGAAAGAUGAAAAGCACUUUGGAAAGAGAGUCAAACAGUACGUGAAAUUGUUGAAAGGGAAGCGCUUGCGGCCAGACCUUGCGGGUGGCCGAUCAACCGGUCCUGCGACCGGUGCACUCGUCCACCAGCAGGCCAGCAUCGGUUUGGGCGGCGGGACAAAAGCGGCGGGAACGUAGCUCCCUCCGGGGAGAUAUUAUAACCCGGUGUGCCAUGCCGCCAGCCCAGACCGAGGACCGCGCUUUGGCUAGGAUGCUGGCGUAAUGGCCGCAAGCGACCCGUCUUGAAACACGGACCAAGGAGUCUAACAUCUAUGCGAGUGUUUGGGUGUCAAACCCGGGCGCGGAAUGAAAGUGAACGGAGGUGGGACCCCUUGACCGGGCGCACCAUCGACCGAUCCAGAUGUUUUCGGAUGGAUUUGAGUAGGAGCAUAGCUGUUGGGACCCGAAAGAUGGUGAACUAUGCCUGAACAGGGUGAAGCCAGAGGAAACUCUGGUGGAAGCUCGCAGCGGUUCUGACGUGCAAAUC